AAGAAAUGUACCAUCUUGUGGAGAGCUGACAUCUGCAUAAAUAAUAAUAGUAAUGAAGAUUCUCUAACGUUGAAUGUAGCCAUUUGGAUAUAAUUCACGUCUCUACCUGGGUAGAUCUGAAGUUCUUGUGCUGCUCUAAACAACACGCCAUGAUUGUACAACA
rnacentral:lncRNA from 1 species